rnacentral:rRNA from 1 species
GCACCUUCGGGUGUGAAUUAGCGGCGAACGGGUGAGGAACACGUGAGAAAUCUGCCUUCAACUCUGGGAUAACUCCGUGAAAACGGGGCUAAUACCGGAUAUGAGAUCUACAGGCAUCUGUGGAUCUGGAAAGUUUUUCGGUUGAAGAUGAUCUCGCGGCCUAUCAGCUUGUUGGUGAGGUAAUGGCUCACCAAGGCGACGACGGGUAGCCGGCCUGAGAGGGCGACCGGCCACACUGGGACUGAGACACGGCCCAGACUCCUACGGGAGGCAGCAGUGGGGAAUAUUGGGCAAUGGAGGAGACUCUGACCCAGCGACGCCGCGUGCGGGAUGAAGGCCUUCGGGUUGUAAACCGCUUUCAGCAGGGAAGAAGCGAAAGUGACGGUACCUGCAGAAGAAGCACCGGCUAACUAUGUGCCAGCAGCCGCGGUAAUACAUAGGGUGCAAGCGUUGUCCGGAAUUAUUGGGCGUAAAGAGCUCGUAGGUGGUUCGU